rnacentral:rRNA from 1 species
UACGUAGGCAGCGAGCGUUGUUCGGAAUUACUGGGCGUAAAGAGUGUGUAGGCGGUGCUCCAAGUCUGUUGUGAAAUCUCCCGGCUUAACUGGGAGGGUGCGGCGGAAACUGGAAUGCUAGAGGGUGGGAGAGGUAAGCGGAAUUCCUGGUGUAGCGGUGAAAUGCGUAGAUAUCAGGAGGAACACCUGUGGUGUAGACAGCUUACUGGACCACUUCUGACGCUGAGACACGAAAGCGUGGGUAGCAAACAGG